AAAAAGAAUAUUGGUCUCCCAUCUGCAAGACUGGGGAAAAAAUUAGAAGACUGAGGGGAUGAGGAAGGAAAGAAAACAGCCUAAUGGAUCUCCUAACAAGCUAGAGACACUAAAAGCUGCCUCUAAAGCUGCCUCUCUCACCCCCAGACAUUUUGAAUUCAUGUCUUUGCCACAAAGUGUUCUUGGAAUCAAAGAACCAAUUCAUUAAUCUGGGUAAUUAGUUUAGGAACCAGAGGGCUUGGAGACU
rnacentral:lncRNA from 1 species